UGCCCAGACUCCUACGGGAGGCAGCAGUGAGGAAUAUUGGUCAAUGGCCGAGAGGCUGAACCAGCCAAGUCGCGUGAGGGAAGACGGCCCUACGGGUUGUAAACCUCUUUUGUCGGGGAGCAAAGCGAACCACGUGUGGUUCAUUGAGAGUACCCGAAGAAAAAGCAUCGGCUAACUCCGUGCCAGCAGCCGCGGUAAUACGGAGGAUGCGAGCGUUAUCCGGAUUUAUUGGGUUUAAAGGGUGCGUAGGCUGUGAGGUAAGUCAGCGGUGAAAUGCCCCCGCUCAACGGGGUGAAGUGCCAUUGAUACUGCCUUGCUGGAAUGCGGAUGCCGUGGGAGGAAUGUGUGGUGUAGCGGUGAAAUGCAUAGAUAUCACACAGAACACCGAUUGCGAAGGCAUCUCACGAAUCCGCGAUUGACGCUGAUGCACGAAAGCGUGGGUAUCAAACAGGAUUAGAUACCCCAGUAC
rnacentral:rRNA from 1 species